CAAGGUAUAUUGUGCAAUUAUAUUUUACAUUGAAUAAUCCCCUACUGACAUAUUUCUGUUCAGGAGUUAAGUACGUUGUUCUAAAGAUUUAGUUUGACCUAUGCUAUGCAAUUUAAUUUGACCUUGGCUACUCAAUACUGUGAACAGAUUUUAUUUAUUUCUAAAGAUUACCCUUAAAAACUUUAUAAAGGGGUAAGGAUUGGUAUUGACAUCAGUUACGAGUCUAACUCUAGAUAAACACUCUUCAUCCACCUUGAACUGAAGUCUUAGACUAUUGCUAAACAAUCAGUUUGUUUACUACGUACUCAAGUCUUAAGGUAAAUUCUAUGUUCAUAUAUUAUCAACUUAAGAGAAAGGUCAAUAAUUUGUUUAUGUAUAAUGCAAUCAAGUCAAAGGUUGAAAAUGUAUAUUUGAAUGAUAUACUAAGUCUGAGGUAAAUAUCUGUUUGUGUACCAUGUACUCCUAUGUGAAUAAUACCAGGUUGGGGACAGUUUAUUCAGUCCAAUGUCUUUUGAGUUUACGUAUUUGUCAGUUUAUAUGUUUGAUUUUGAAUUAUGUAAGACUAUGUAUUUUUCUUAUCAGUAUUUACCAAUAGAAAUAGGAAAACAUGUAAAAAAGGUUUCAAUUUAAAGCUUAGCUGUUCAUUUCAUCAUUGGUUUAAUUGUUAUACGAAAACAAAAUAUGUUUUAGACAAAGGAAAAAAAGAAAAUACUUGUCUUGUUAAUUAAAGAAGAAAGUUGAUUAGUAUAGUGCUUUAUUUUUUGAACUCUGUUAAAACAUAUUGAGGUGCAAAUAUACUGUCAAAUUUUAGAUCUUCAAAUUUAAAAAAUCUUUUGAAAAAUGACACGAUUUGUUCCUGCAUAAUGUUCAGUGCUAUUUUUAAAAUCUCAGGGCCUUGAUUUUUUUUAAAAUUGAAUUUGUUUAACACUUUCAGUUUAAAUAAGGAAAUUCUUGUUUGCCCUUUAAGUUUAUUUAUGAAGAAAUCCAGAUCUGAUAGUAUUUAAUUUUGAAAAUCUGUCUCCUUUUGUAAUCUUUGUAGAAAUGUAUUUUAUUUUUCAAUCGAUAUAUAACUGAUUUAAUUUGAAUUAAAAAAUUAAUUUUAGGCCACAGAAACAAAAAACAGAAGUGAUCUUUUUCAGUUUUUUUUUUUUUAAAGAGAUAUUUAGCUACGUAGGCUUUUAGUCUUUUAUUUUCCCCUAUCACUUACCAUAUUUACCUUUUUAUCUUCUUAUACAGAUAAAAGAGGCUUAACUUAUUGCCUACUUAUCUUCGCUAUUUACAGAAAAAGGAAUUGUCUUGUUUUUGUGUGAUUUAAAACAAUGUUUUGAUUAUAUUUGAUCUGAUUUUAAAUCAAAUACUUUUUUAUUUCAAUUGCUGCAUUGUUUUUUCUGAACAAAAACAAAUGUUGCACACAAGAUAAUUGGAAGAUUGAAAAAAAAAAAAAUAAGUGUGUCCCCAGAUAUAUAAACUUACCAAUGAGUAGUGUUCUUUUUAUUUUUACUGAAACAUAAUUUGCUUUUCUGCAAUAUUUAACCCAGUAAAUGUGAACCCAGUAGUUGCCAUGGAAGUUAGAUCGUAUUAUUUCCCUUUCAUGUCUGUUCUUAAACCAUGUACAGUUUUAUUGUACAGUGUUUUUCAAAUUUGAUUUUAAUUUUAGGUAUGUCUAGUCAAUUAUGUUGUUUAUAUCAUAUUUACCAUAUCAGUUUUGUCACCAUGUGCAAUAUGCAAAUAAAUUACACUCUCAUUGCUUACAUGUCUUAUUUUAUAGUGCAUGUUUGUGAUUUGAACCCUUACAUCACAAUAAUUCCUGUUUAUGAAUUGUUAUACCAAGGCUUAUCUUAUUCAUGGAUUGAUAAUAAGUGUUUAUUGAAUUAGACAAGACACCAAAAGGAAAAGUCAAAAUGGAAAAUUUAAGUCUGAAAACACUACAUAGAAACUGAGCAACAGGAACCACACCAGAAACUUAAUCCACUACUUCUACCAAGUCAGGAAUAUAACAGUUGUUAUCCAUUUGUUUGAUGUGUUUGAUGUUUAGAUUUUACCAUUUUAUAAAGGACAUUCUGAUUUGAAUUUCCC
rnacentral:lncRNA from 1 species